UUAAGUUAUUAAGGGCGCACGGUGGAUGCCUUGGCACUAGAAGCCGAUGAAGGACGUUACUAACGACGAUAUGCUUUGGGGAGCUGUAAGUAAGCUUUGAUCCAGAGAUUUCCGAAUGGGGAAACCCAGCAUGAGUUAUGUCAUGUUAUCGAUAUGUGAAUACAUAGCAUAUCAGAAGGCACACCCGGAGAACUGAAACAUCUUAGUACCCGGAGGAAGAGAAAGAAAAUUCGAUUCCCUUAGUAGCGGCGAGCGAAACGGGAAGAGCCCAAACCAACAAGCUUGCUUGUUGGGGUUGUAGGACACUCUAUACGGAGUUACAAAGGACGACAUUAGACGAAUCAUCUGGAAAGAUGAAUCAAAGAAGGUAAUAAUCCUGUAGUCGAAAAUGUUGUCUCUCUUGAGUGGAUCCUGAGUACGACGGAGCACGUGAAAUUCCGUUGGAAUCUGGGAGGACCAUCUCCUAAGGCUAAAUACUCUCUAGUGACCGAUAGUGAACCAGUACCGUGAGGGAAAGGUGAAAAGCACCCCGGAAGGGGAGUGAAAUAGAACCUGAAACCGUGUGCUUACAAGUAGUCAGAGCCCGUUAAUGGGUGAUGGCGUGCCUUUUGUAGAAUGAACCGGCGAGUUACGAUUUGAUGCAAGGUUAAGCAGUAAAUGUGGAGCCGUAGCGAAAGCGAGUCUGAAUAGGGCGUUUAGUAUUUGGUCGUAGACCCGAAACCAGGUGAUCUACCCUUGGUCAGGUUGAAGUUCAGGUAACACUGAAUGGAGGACCGAACCGACUUACGUUGAAAAGUGAGCGGAUGAACUGAGGGUAGCGGAGAAAUUCCAAUCGAACCUGGAGAUAGCUGGUUCUCUCCGAAAUAGCUUUAGGGCUAGCCUCAAGUGAUGAUUAUUGGAGGUAGAGCACUGUUUGGACGAGGGGCCCCUCUCGGGUUACCGAAUUCAGACAAACUCCGAAUGCCAAUUAAUUUAACUUGGGAGUCAGAACAUGGGUGAUAAGGUCCGUGUUCGAAAGGGAAACAGCCCAGACCACCAGCUAAGGUCCCAAAAUAUAUGUUAAGUGGAAAAGGAUGUGGCGUUGCCCAGACAACUAGGAUGUUGGCUUAGAAGCAGCCAUCAUUUAAAGAGUGCGUAAUAGCUCACUAGUCGAGUGACACUGCGCCGAAAAUGUACCGGGGCUAAACAUAUUACCGAAGCUGUGGAUUGUCCUUUGGACAAUGGUAGGAGAGCGUUCUAAGGGCGUUGAAGCAUGAUCGUAAGGACAUGUGGAGCGCUUAGAAGUGAGAAUGCCGGUGUGAGUAGCGAAAGACGGGUGAGAAUCCCGUCCACCGAUUGACUAAGGUUUCCAGAGGAAGGCUCGUCCGCUCUGGGUUAGUCGGGUCCUAAGCUGAGGCCGACAGGCGUAGGCGAUGGAUAACAGGUUGAUAUUCCUGUACCACCUAUAAUCGUUUUAAUCGAUGGGGGGACGCAGUAGGAUAGGCGAAGCGUGCGAUUGGAUUGCACGUCUAAGCAGUAAGGCUGAGUAUUAGGCAAAUCCGGUACUCAUUAAGGCUGAGCUGUGAUGGGGAGAAGACAUUGUGUCUUCGAGUCGUUGAUUUCACACUGCCGAGAAAAGCCUCUAGAUAGAAAAUAGGUGCCCGUACCGCAAACCGACACAGGUAGUCAAGAUGAGAAUUCUAAGGUGAGCGAGCGAACUCUCGUUAAGGAACUCGGCAAAAUGACCCCGUAACUUCGGGAGAAGGGGUGCUCUUUAGGGUUAACGCCCAGAAGAGCCGCAGUGAAUAGGCCCAAGCGACUGUUUAUCAAAAACACAGGUCUCUGCUAAACCGUAAGGUGAUGUAUAGGGGCUGACGCCUGCCCGGUGCUGGAAGGUUAAGAGGAGUGGUUAGCUUCUGCGAAGCUACGAAUCGAAGCCCCAGUAAACGGCGGCCGUAACUAUAACGGUCCUAAGGUAGCGAAAUUCCUUGUCGGGUAAGUUCCGACCCGCACGAAAGGCGUAACGAUUUGGGCACUGUCUCAACGAGAGACUCGGUGAAAUCAUAGUACCUGUGAAGAUGCAGGUUACCCGCGACAGGACGGAAAGACCCCGUGGAGCUUUACUGUAGCCUGAUAUUGAAAUUCGGCACAGCUUGUACAGGAUAGGUAGGAGCCUUUGAAACGUGAGCGCUAGCUUACGUGGAGGCGCUGGUGGGAUACUACCCUAGCUGUGUUGGCUUUCUAACCCGCACCACUUAUCGUGGUGGGAGACAGUGUCAGGCGGGCAGUUUGACUGGGGCGGUCGCCUCCUAAAAGGUAACGGAGGCGCUCAAAGGUUCCCUCAGAAUGGUUGGAAAUCAUUCAUAGAGUGUAAAGGCAUAAGGGAGCUUGACUGCGAGACCU
rnacentral:rRNA from 1 species